CGCAGUGUAGCAAUACAUGGGCGGCGACCGGCAAACGGGUGCGGAACACGUACGCAAUCUACCCAAAACUGAUGAAUAGCCCUCCGAAAGGAGGAUUAAUACAUCGUAACUUAAGGAAGUGGCAUCACUAUCUUAAUAUAGCUCCGGCGGUUUUGGAUGAGCGUGCGCCUGAUUAGGUAGUUGGCGGGGUAACGGCCCACCAAGCCUGCGAUCAGUAACUGGUGUGAGAGCACGACCAGUCACACGGGCACUGAGACACGGGCCCGACUCCUACGGGAGGCAGCAGUAAGGAAUAUUGGUCAAUGGACGCAAGUCUGAACCAGCCAUGCCGCGUGAAGGAUGAAGGUCCUCUGGAUUGUAAACUUCUUUUAUAUGGGACGAAACCUCUUAUUCUUAAGAGACUGACGGUACCAUAGGAAUAAGCACCGGCUAACUCCGUGCCAGCAGCCGCGGUAAUACGGAGGGUGCAAGCGUUAUCCGGAUUCACUGGGUUUAAAGGGAGCGUAGGAGGGCAGGUAAGUCAGUGGUGAAAUCUUCGAGCUUAACUCGGAAACUGCCGUUGAUACUAUCUGUCUUGAAUACCGUGGAGAUGAGCGGAAUAUGUCAUGUAGCGGUGAAAUGCUUAGAUAUGACAUAGAACACCAAUUGCGAAGGCAGCUCGUUACACGAAUAUUGACUCUGAGGCUCGAAAGCGUGGGGAUCAAACAGGAUUAGAUACCCUGGUAGUCCACGCCCUAAACGAUGGAUACUCGACAUACGCGAUACACUGUGUGUGUCUGAGCGAAAGCAUUAAGUAU
rnacentral:rRNA from 1 species